ensembl:misc_RNA Metazoa_SRP Metazoan signal recognition particle RNA
GCCGGGCGUGGUGGCGCAUGCCUGUAAUCCCAGCUACUUGGGAGGCUGAGGCAGGAGAAUCGCUUGAACCCAGGAGGUGGAGGUUGCAGUGAACCAAGAUCAUGCCACUGCACUCCAGCCUGGGCGAAAGAGUGAGAUCCUGUCUCAA